AGUGAACGCUGGCGGCGUGCCUAACACAUGCAAGUCGAACGGAGCGGCGCACGGGUGAGUAAUGUAUAGCUAAUCUGCCCUACACUAGAGGGCAACAGUUGGAAACGACUGCUAAUACUCCAUAUUGUAGGUUGAGGCUAUACUGUAUCAGCUAGUUGGUGAGGUAAUGGCUCACUAAGGCUAUGACGCAUAACUGGGCUGAGGGGAUGAUCUGUCGACCUGGAAGUGAGGCACGAUGCAGGAAUAUAGGGGAAGGAGCGGUAGGGUGUAUUACUCAAGGGGGGGAACCGAGGAAGGGCAUCGCGGCGUAAAGGAUGACACUUGUCGAGGCAUGAGCUGCUUUUAUUAGGGAAGCGGUACCUGACGAAUAAGCACCGGCUAACUCCGUGCCAGCAGCCGCGGUAAUAC
rnacentral:rRNA from 1 species